UAAAUACAGAUGAUUUUUAAAUGAUAAAAUUAAAUUUAAAACAAGCAUUGGAGAGAAUCAGAACAGAAGGAAAACGAAGGGAAAAAAAGAAAAGAAAAGACCCUACCAGAUGGCUCACUUACUCUGGGGGAAGCCAGCCGCCAUGUUGUGAGGAGACCCAAGCAGCCCUUGGAGAAGCCUGCAAGGUGAGGAGCUGAGUCUGCCUGCCAACCAUCAGCACCAGCUUGCUAACUAUGAUAUGUCCUGCUUCAUGAUCGUGAGAGCCAAAAUAAAUUCACAAUUCCUCUGUUAGUCACAAUACCAGGAUUUCUGAGUGCCCAUCCUAGUGACAGUGAGAGGGCAGUCUUUUCGCUUCCUAAGGAACAGCUGCUACCUGGUUUAUCCUGAUCCUUCUGAAGGUCAAUCAAGAAAACAUAUCAAAGGCUUGGAAAAGGCAAAAGAGAUUCCUGGGUGUCCUUUCAGAGGAAGGCUGGGUGUCAGCGAGGUGUCCUCUGAUGAUGAUCUGAUUCUUUAGGGAGUCCAAAAUUGAUCUCGGAACACAGAAUAGGUGCUCAAUAAACAUUUGUGAACGAACUAAUACAUCAGCGAAUGAAUAUAAGACUUUUUAAAAGCCAAAAACAUCCGUGUCCUCAAGACGCUGACAGCCUAAUGAGGAAGGCAGACUGUAAAAGCUAGACAUGGAUCCUGCCCACCCCCCCACACCCCCCCUUCCCUCAGUGCUUUGCCAGAGGGAGGCAUGGGAGCUUCAGGAGCCCAGAGAGGUGCCCAACCUGGCCCAGGGCCUCAGGGCAGGCUUCCUGGGGAAGGACAACACGCCUCGAGACCUAUAAAGGAAGGAAGGGGAAAGGUGCUCCACAUAGAGGUCACGGCUUCAGCAAGCGCCUGGCGAGGGGAACCUGCAUGGUGCGCACUGCGAAUUCUAAGCCUCGAGGAGGGACCUAGAGGGAGGAAGAGAGGUCUGCAGGGAAUUCAAGUGAGUCAUUAAAAACAAAUCCUUCCCUUGACUGCCCCUCAGAUAGCUCAUCCACAAAAUGGGGGAAAGACGAGGAUGAAAUGAGACGCAGGGCCUGGCACACUACUGUGGCCUUUAUGAGACCUUCAGGUCUCCCUAAUUGUUUACCUCUCCACCCAGACACACUUUAGGGGGAUGGCCACCAGGGGCCAGUAGCGGGGCUCCAGAAGUGGCUGAGAAUGAUGGCCUGAGACAGAGCUGGAGGGACCACUGUGCUGGAUUGGUUUAUUUAUUUAUUUAUUUAUAAUUUUUUUUUCUUUUUGUGAGGAAGAUUGACCCUAAGCUAACAUCUGUGCCAGUCUUCCUCUACUUUGUAUAUGGGACGCUGCCACAGCAUGGCUUGAUGAGUAGUGCGAAGGUCCGAGCCAGGGAUUGGAAUCUGUGAACCCCGGACCGCCAAAGCAGAAAGCGUGAACUUAACCACUACGCCAUGGAGGGACCGCCGUGCCCAGUUGGUUUAAAUCAGCGCCUCUGAGAUGGCAGCACCAGGAGACCCCUUGGGCUCCAAGCAUCCAACCCCCAUGAGACAGCAGAGCUUCAUCCUGCAAGGCACGGCACCAAGUCAAAGAACUGGGUGAGCCCCCUCACACGGAGGGCGCUGGAUAGAGACGUUUAGUGUAACCAGAAAUUCAUUCUUCCCUCCAGCAAAUGUUUAUUAAGCAUCCACUAUGUUCCAGCUGUUAGAAGCCGUGGGGUUGCAACAGACAAUAAACCAAUAUAGUCUGUGUGAGUGUGUGUGUGUAUGUGUGUGAGAUGUUGAAAAGUUCUCCUAGGGAGAAAAAUUAAGACGGGAAGGGGAACAAGGAAUGUGGAAAUGGUUUGCAAUUUGAAAUAGGAUGGUGCAGGAAGGCCUUCUGGGAAGGGACCUUUGAAUAGAGAUCAGAAGAUAUGGUGGGAAUAAGCCAUGAAGACAUCUGAGGGAAGAGGGUCCCAGGCAGAGGGGACAGCAAGUGCAAAUGCCCUGGGGCAAGAUUGUGCUUGUCAUGGUUCAAAGAGCAGUGAAGAAGCCAGAGAGGGGGCUGAGGCAGGGGGCCAGAUGGAGUAAGGCCUUCCAGGUCACCAGGAUGCCCCAAAGUGGAUGUAAUACAUAGUGACAAAGGUACACAAUAGGAGUGAGGCCCAGAGCCGCUCAUUAGGCAACUCUAAACUUGUGUCUCAUUACCCAACCACACCUCCUGCAGUGCACUAUGAAUUAAUAUUUUCUAUAAAUCCUGUAAUUAUCUUGUGAAUAGCACAAUUAUAUUGCAUUGUAUUUGUAUGUGUUAAAAGCGCUCAUUUGUUAAAUGUAAACAUUUGAAAUAUACCAUGUAUUAUGCAGCCCUUUUCACACUUUUAUUUAAUAAACUGGAAGCCUUAAAAUUGGAAGCAGAAGGGCCUUUUCUUCCAAGAGUUCCCUGGAGGCAGGUCUACACUCACACUCAUCCACACCCUCACAUACACCACACUGACUCACCCACUCACCCACAGUGCCCAGCCAGAAGCCCGGGCUGGGAGGCAGAGACCUGUUCACCUGCCACUCGGGGUGGCCUCGGGCAGAUCCCUGCAGUGUCUUCCACUCCCUCCACCUCACCUUGCCCAGCCCUUAACAGUUUAUAGACAGCGUCCUUGUCCUCAUGGACCUUCACUACAAAAUGGGCAGGGGUUAAUGUGUCCAUUUUACAGACAGGUAAACUGAGGCUCUGAGUGGUGCCUGCUCAAAGCGG
ensembl:lncRNA